CUCGCGACAAUCACGUUUGAACGUGUGGCGUCAGGAGUGUAGAUCAACAACAGACAACAUGGAGUUUGGGGGUGGACAAAAGAAAACAAGGAGCAUGGGAGAGCGCAGGACCAUGCUGCGUUAAUGUUUGGAAGUACCGACAUUACUUUGACUCAGUGACAAAAACAUUCGGGUCCUCUGUACGCUCUGCUUCGGAAGAAAACUUAAGCGAAAAACUCAAUUUCACCGAGCAAACCACAGAAACCCCCGUAUUCUCUCCACCGAGUUGAUGGCUGCGGCUCCGACAGCUCUCUCCUGCUGAACAGGUCCUGAGGUUUCCGUAACACCUUGUCUGUAGGAGAACUGAACCUACACCAUUUUGCAGCCUCAAGGCAACAACAAGAUUGACCUCUGAGUCGCAGUCACGAUCCAAUUACCUGCUCAAGGACAAGCACAUGAAGACCACCAUGACCUGAGCUUGAACUCAUCAGCUGAAAUGAAGUUGUUCACUCGGCUGUAGAAGACAAACCAUACUUUCUACUCGUUAAUCAGCCCUAUUGGACUGUGCAGCAGAAAGGUUCCUGCUGGAAAUGGCUUCCACUCA